rnacentral:tRNA from 1 species
GGUGAGGUGGAUGAGUGGCUGAAAUCAACAGUUUGCUAAAUUGUCGUACUGUGAAAAUGGUACCGAGGGUUCGAAUCCCUCCCUCACCGCCA